UACGUAGGGGGCAAGCGUUGUCCGGAAUUAUUGGGCGUAAAGAGCGCGUAGGCGGUCCGAUAAGUCGGCUGUGAAAGUCAGGGGCUCAACCCUUGGAAGCCGGCCGAUACUGUCGGACUAGAGUCCGGAAGAGGCGAGUGGAAUUCCCGGUGUAGCGGUGAAAUGCGCAGAUAUCGGGAGGAACACCAGUGGCGAAGGCGGCUUCCUGGACCGGUUCUGACACUGAGGAGCGAAAGCGUGGGGAGCGAACAGG
rnacentral:rRNA from 1 species